AACGAACGCUGGCGGCAUGCCUAACACAUGCAAGUCGAACGAUACCUUCGGGUCUAGUGGCGCACGGGUGCGUAACGCGUGGGAACCUUCCCUUAUGUUCGGAAUAACUCCCCGAAAGGGGUGCUAAUACCGGAUAAUGUCUUCUGACCAAAGAUUUAUCGCCUUUGGAUGGGCCCGCGUUGGAUUAGCUAGUUGGUAGGGUAAAAGCCUACCAAGGCGACGAUCCAUAGCUGGUCUGAGAGGAUGAUCAGCCACACUGGGACUGAGAAACGGCCCAGACUCGUACGGGAGGGAGGAGAGGGGAAUAUUGGAAAAGGGGCGAAAGCCUGAUAAAGCAAGGACGCGUGAGUGAUGAAGGGCUUAGGGUUGUAAAGCUCUUUUACCCGGGAUGAUAAUGACAGUACCGGGAGAAUAAGCGCCGGCUAACUCCGUG
rnacentral:rRNA from 1 species